UACGAAGGGGGCUAGCGUUUCUCGGAAUCAUUGGGCGUAAAGAGCUCGUAGGCGGCCUGUCGCGUCGACCGUGAAAACCCGCAGCUCAACUGCGGGCUUGCGGUCGAUACGGGCAGGCUGGAGUUCGGUAGGGGAGACUGGAAUUCCUGGUGUAGCGGUGAAAUGCGCAGAUAUCAGGAGGAACACCGGUGGCGAAGGCGGGUCUCUGGGCCGAUACUGACGCUGAGGAGCGAAAGCGUGGGGAGCGAACAGG
rnacentral:rRNA from 1 species